rnacentral:rRNA from 1 species
UACGUAGGGGGCAAGCGUUGUCCGGAAUCAUUGGGCGUAAAGCGCGUGUAGGCGGUUCGGUAAGUCUGCUGUGAAAGUCCAGGGCUCAACCCUGGGAUGCCGGUGGAUACUGUCAGACUAGAGUACGGAAGAGGCGAGUGGAAUUCCUGGUGUAGCGGUGAAAUGCGCAGAUAUCAGGAGGAACACCAAUGGCGAAGGCAGCUCGCUGGGACGGUACUGACGCUGAGACGCGAAAGCGUGGGGAGCGAACAGG